rnacentral:rRNA from 1 species
UAAACUGCUUUUGUACCGGAAUAAACCCCUUUACGUGUAAAGGGCUGAAUGUACGGUAAGAAUAAGGAUCGGCUAACUCCGUGCCAGCAGCCGCGGUAAUACGGAGGAUCCAAGCGUUAUCCGGAUUUAUUGGGUUUAAAGGGUGCGCAGGCGGCCUGUUAAGUCAGGGGUGAAAGACGGUGGCUCAACCAUCGCAGUGCCUUUGAUACUGAUGGGCUUGAAUGAACCUGAGGUAGGCGGAAUGUGACAAGUAGCGGUGAAAUGCAUAGAUAUGUCACAGAACACCAAUUGCGAAGGCAGCUUACUAAAGUUUAAUUGACGCUGAGGCACGAAAGCGUGGGGAUCAAACAGGAUUAGAUACCCUGGUAGUCCACGCCCUAAACGAUGAAUACUCGAUGUUAGCGAUAUACAGUUAGCGUCUAAGCGAAAGCGUUAAGUAUUCCACCUGGGGAGUACGCCCGCAAGGGUGAAACUCAAAGGAAUUGACGGGGGCCCGCACAAGCGGAGGAGCAUGUGGUUUAAUUCGAUGAUACGCGAGGAACCUUACCCGGGCUUGAAAGUUACUGAAUGAUCCAGAGAUGGGUCAGUCCUUCGGGACAGGAAACUAGGUGCUGCAUGGC